rnacentral:rRNA from 1 species
AUUGAACGCUGGCGGCAUGCCUUACACAUGCAAGUCGAACGGUAACGGGCCUUCGGGUGCCGACGAGUGGCGAACGGGUGAGUAAUGCAUCGGAACGUACCCAUCAGUGGGGGAUAACUCUCCGAAAGGAGGGCUAAUACCGCAUAUUCUGUGCGCAGGAAAGCGGGGGACCGCAAGGCCUCGCGCUGAUGGAGCGGCCGAUGUCAGAUUAGCUAGUUGGUGGGGUAAAGGCCUACCAAGGCGACGAUCUGUAGCGGGUCUGAGAGGAUGAUCCGCCACACUGGGACUGAGACACGGCCCAGACUCCUACGGGAGGCAGCAGUGGGGAAUUUUGGACAAUGGGGGCAACCCUGAUCCAGCCAUGCCGCGUGAGUGAAGAAGGCCUUCGGGUUGUAAAGCUCUUUCGGCCGGGAAGAAAUCGCAUCUCCUAAUACGGGGUGUGGAUGACGGUACCGGAAUAAGAAGCACCGGCUAACUACGUGCCAGCAGCCGCGGUAAAAC